rnacentral:rRNA from 1 species
UAAUACAGAGGUCCCAAGCGUUGUUCGGAUUCACUGGGCGUAAAGGGUGCGUAGGUGGUUGGGUAAGUCUGAUGUGAAAUCUCCGAGCUCAACUCGGAAACUGCAUCAGAUACUAUUCAACUCGAGGGUUGGAGGGGGGACUGGAAUACUUGGUGUAGCAGUGAAAUGCGUAGAUAUCAAGUGGAACACCAGUGGCGAAGGCGAGUCCCUGGACAACUCCUGACACUGAGGCACGAAAGCUAGGGGAGCAAACAGG